UAGGGUACAGUGAUAUAGGAUUAUUAUGAGCAUCCAUAGUUGUAGUGCCUUACGCCGAUAAUCUCGACUCCAAGGCAGCCUCGUAGCGCUCCAGUUGAUAUGUGUGUAUGUUGAACUUCUUUCGCACCGUAUGUAGCCAACCGUGCUAAUCGGAGGUGCGGGGGUAAGACAACAAACUAAACACAAAACGAUGUUAUCACGAAAUGGGUUUUCCAUCGAGAUCAUUUAAAAGUGCAUAGCUCCAGUGGCUUCCUAAUAUCGGAAGGAAGAGCGUUCCAGACGGCCGCAGAAGCACGUAUGGAGUGAGGGAUGAAGCCACGUACACACAGACAACAGGGUGAUUCAACAACAAACAUAUACGCAGGUUAAAGCCCGUUACUGAGAGAAAAAUAAUGCAUAGACGUAUUCUAUGGUUAUUUCGGUAAAGUCACGUAGAUAGAAAAAAUAAUACCAAUAGAAUAAUAAAAAUGAAAAUAAAGUGAAUAAAAAAUAUCACGACGUUUCGAUCGCAACAUCUUCAUUUUUAGUAUUUUAUUGUUAUACAUGUUUCUAUCUACAUGACUUUACCAAAAAACCCAUAGAAUCUGAAUUCCUGCUGUCACGAAAGUUUUAAGUCAAAAUUUAAUGCAUAGACGUUUUAGCCCAUUGGCCUUCUUAAUGAAAUGUGCUAACACAAACUAAAAACUAAACUAUAAACUAAUUAAUUUUACCAGGACAGGCCCACUGAGCUAUGCAUCUCUUUUUCUGAAGCGACAGGCCACAAAUGACAGCUCAACGAAGUGGCUUGUCACGUGGAAAUGUAGAGCAGCCAAAUACUCUGAACGCGUGAUGUCGAUUCUAAAUGUGGAAGGAAAAUCCCGACAACCCGGAAAAGCAUCCACGCAAUCACGAGGAGAGAGGCACACAAACUCUAAAGAUUCAGCAGGCGCCAAGAGUCGGAAUGGAACGCACGACCUCUUCAAUACCAGUCGAGCUCGAUGCCGAGGUGCGAGCCCGGAUCGUUGACAUUGAGGGGCGCGUGGAGCGGGGAGCACGUGGCCGCGCGAGGCGUCGCUGCGGGUGGCUCGUGGCGCGGCGCGUCGCUGCCAAGGGGUGGCGCGCCUUGGUCGAGCCUCGCCAUUGAGUGGCAGCCGAAGGAUGGAAUUAUAUCGCAUUUAAAAAUGGGAAGAACAAGAAUGCCCGAAUGAAUUGAGGCAACACACAAUUGAUGACCGUUCAAAGAUUACACGUGUAAUUAUUUUUUUAUUUAAAAAAAUGGUAUUCCACAUCCUCCCUCACAUCAUACAUCGCAACAUCCUGACUUUCUGGACGCCAUUGCCAGGGGCAUCGACGGUAUCAG